rfam:Picea glauca, whole genome shotgun sequence.
UCAUGUAAUGAUGCCUAAAACAUUAAUGCAUUAUAUCCCAUUUGAACUCCAUAGUUAAGUGUGCUUGGGAUAGAGUAGUACUAGGAUGGGUGACCUCCCGGGAAGUCCUAGUGUUUUACAUGUA